rnacentral:lncRNA from 1 species
UAGGUAACAAAUAACCAUGAGUGAUUCUCAUAACUCAAUACGCACUAUGGUAAGAACCACUACAACAGCAUGUAUUCAUUCUGAGUCCCAAUUCAAUUUUAAAAGAACCUGUAGAUAUUGUCAAUGUAAUGAGUUAAAUAACCGAUGUGCACCAAAAAGAGGGAAUGGAUAACCUAAAGGGUAUUAUCCUCUAUGAAAAAAAUCUCUGUGGAUAUUAUUCUAAGAUACUGGUAUAACUUUCAUUAAAUGAUCUUUUGGUCUUUAUAAAAAUUAUUUGAAAAGUCUGAAAAUAAUGUACUACAACAUAAAGCUUGCUUCUGAAAGUAACUAGAUUCUAUAUUCAGGUAUA